rnacentral:rRNA from 1 species
ACCGGCGGCUCGAGUGGUGGCCACUAUUACUGGGCUUAAAGCGUUCGUAGCUGGCUUGUUAAGUCUCUGGGGAAAUCUUCCGGCUCAACCGGAAGGCUUCUCAGGGAUACUGGCAGGCUAGGGAACGGAAGAGGUGAGAGGUACUCCAGGGGUAGGAGUGAAAUGCGGUAAUCCUGGGGGGAACACCUGUGGCAAAGGCGACUCACCAGGACGAAACCGACAGUGAGGAACGAAAGCUGGGGGAGCAAACAG